rnacentral:lncRNA from 7 species
UAAUUAAUUUACCUUUGGCAUUUUCUACUGUAAAUGAAACACUAGUUCCUACUUCAGAUCUAUGUGCUGAGGCUGAGUGAGGUUAUUAGAUAAAUGCCUGUGGCCUGAGAAGCCUGAGGGGUGGCUGUAAUGAGAAGAUUUUUACCAGCUGGUCCAAAAUCUUCAAGUUGCCUACCUGACUGCUGAAAGAAAGCCAAGAUGGUAUCCUUUGAGAGAGUCUCACUACCUCUUAAUUCCAGUGCAGAUCAUCAUUACUUGAAACUGAAGUGAAUUUGGCAUCUGGGAGAGUAACUGACUUCAUCUCGCUCAGUGCAUCUUAUGUUAGUGGUGUUCUCUGGGUUUGCUGAGCAGAAUUUCACUAUUGGCUGAGCUCCUUAGGCUAAUAUUUUCAAAGACAGCUAUAGGGAAUUAAUGUCCAACUCAGUAGGAUAUUGGUGGGUUAUUCCCUUGGUUUCCUUGGGGGGAAAAAAAAAUGUGCCUGGAUUUGCUGACUUUGACCAUUUAAAGAGAUGGUGGAAUUUGGUUCCGCCAUGCAUGAAAUCUUUAUUGGGUCUUGUUCAGAGCCUAGAGCUAAAACAUUCACAGAGCAGUGAUCUCAUAUUAAUGAUGGUAGUGUAACUGUGAUGUGAUUUAAUAAAGAGAAGAAACAUAGCUUAUUACUGUAACUUGUAAUUCUAAUGCAUUUCCUCCCAAUGCUGGAAGGAAGCAUUUUCCAUUACCUCUCAUGUUUCUUUUCCAAGGGAGUGAAAUUUCUUAUUUUUCCAGAACUAGGAGCACCCCUAUUCUUCAGACAAGUUAUCCAUUUGUAGAACUCUUUUAAAAUGCCCUAGUUGGCAGGGGAAGAACAAAAGGCCUCAGCACAGGGCUGGUGUGGUGGGGGAUGAACUGAGUAAUCAGACGAGUCAGGUGAGGGUUGCUGCUGCUCAGUCAGCAUCAUGGGGAGGGAUGCAGAAACAGGAAUUGAGUGUCUGUGCUAACUGUCUGUGGGUAUUUAAAUUCUCAUUCUUCACCUAAGUGGAAAACAACAUUUUUCCCCAUUGCCCUGGGAUCUCUUAUUCAAGGCUGGAGUUGGAUGCUCAGUUGGAAGAAGUGUCCUGCAUUUAGGCUGUGUGGAAGUGUGUGCUAUGAGCUGCUGUUACAAAGCAGUUCAUGCAGGGUAACUCAUCACCCCGCUGCCCAUCUGUAUGCUUGCGCCGCAUCGUUAUGAGAGGUAAUUCAAGGUAGCUGACUUUCAAGGAGAGAAGGCAGCCCUUGGAUUUUGUAUCUCUAGAAGAAGAAAAGGUUUCGUUGCAUUUCCUUAAAUACAAUUUGUGCUUUUUUACAGUGUGAAUAACAUUCUUUAAUAUCUAUAUUUAGUGUAGCAACUACAAUAAAUCCAACUCUG